rnacentral:rRNA from 1 species
GUGGGGAAUAUUGGGCAAUGGGCGCAAGCCUGACCCAGCAACGCCGCGUGAAGGAAGAAGGCUUUCGGGUUGUAAACUUCUUUUCUGGAGGACGAAGGAAGUGACGGUACUCCAGGAAUAAGCCACGGCUAACUACGUGCCAGCAGCCGCGGUAAUACGUAGGUGGCAAGCGUUAUCCGGAUUUAUUGGGUGUAAAGGGCGUGUAGGCGGGAGUGCAAGUCAGAUGUGAAAACUAUGGGCUCAACCCAUAGCCUGCAUUUGAAACUGUACUUCUUGAGUGCUGGAGAGGCAAUCGGAAUUCCGUGUGUAGCGGUGAAAUGCGUAGAUAUACGGAGGAACACCAGUGGCGAAGGCGGAUUGCUGGACAGUAACUGACGCUGAGGCGCGAAAGCGUGGGGAGCAAACAGG